CGCAUCUUGCGCUCCUUAGUACUCUGAGGAGCAUGCCUGUUUGAGUGUCAUUAAAUUCUCAACUCCCCUAGGGAGCUUGGAUUGUGGGGGCUUGCCGGCCACUUGUUCGAGGUCGGCUCCUCUGAAAUACAUUAGCGGAACCGUUUGCGAUCUGCCACAAGUGUGAUAAGUUAUCUACACUGGCGAGGGGGAUUGCUCUGCGUGUUGUUCAGCUUCUAAUUGUCUCACAUUUGACGAGACAAAUUCUUGAAUGCUUGACCUCAAAUCAGGUAGGACUACCCGCUGAACUUAA
rnacentral:misc_RNA from 1 species